CGCAGACCCGGCGGCGUCCGCCCUCCUCUUGCCGCCGCGCCCGCCCCUUCCCCCUCCCCCCGCGGGCCCUGCGUGGUCACGCGUCGGGUGGCGGGGGGGAGAGGGGGGCGCGCCCGGCUGAGAGAGACGGGGAGGGCGGCGCCGCCGCCGCCCGCGAAGACGGAGAGGGAAAGAGAGAGCCGGCUCGGGCCGAGUUCCCGUGGCCGCCGCCUGCGGUCCGGGUUCCUCCCUCGGGGGGCUCCCUCGCGCCGCGCGCGGCUCGGGGUUCGGGGUUCGUCGGCCCCGGCCGGGUGGAAGGUCCCGUGCCCGUCGUCGUCGUCGUCGUCGCGCGUCGUCGGCGGUGGGGGCGUGUUGCGUGCGGUGUGGUGGUGGGGGAGGAGGAAGGCGGGUCCGGAAGGGGAAGGGUGCCGGCGGGGAGAGAGGGUCGGGGGAGCGCGUCCCGGUCGCCGCGGUUCGCCGCCCGCCCCCGGUGGCGGCCCGGCGUCCGGCCGACCGCCGCUCCCGCGCCCCUCCUCCUCCCCGCCGCCCCCCCCUCGCGGCCCUCCCCCGCCCCACCCCGCGCGCGCCGCUCGCUCCCUCCCCGCCCCGCGCCCUCUCUCUCUCUCUCUCCCCCGCUCCCCGUCCUCCCCCCUCCCCGGGGGAGCGCCGCGUGGGGGCGGCGGCGGGGGGAGAAGGGUCGGGGCGGCAGGGGCCGCCCCCCCCCUCCACGCGCCCCGCGCGCGCGGGAGGGCGCGUGCCCCGCCGCGCGCCGGGACCGGGGUCCGGUGCGGAGUGCCCUUCGUCCUGGGAAACGGG
rnacentral:lncRNA from 1 species